GCUUGAUGAUGACCUCUUGCACACUGAGCGAACUGUAGUUGGUCCUUGGUUUGCAUUUGUGAUGUGAGCUUUUCAAGACGGGGCUGAGAGCAGC
rnacentral:snoRNA from 1 species